rnacentral:rRNA from 1 species
UACGUAGGAUGCAAGCGUUGUCCGGAAUUAUUGGGCGUAAAGAGCGCGCAGGCGGUUUUUCAAGUCAGAUGUGAAAUAUCCGGGCUUAACCCGGAGGGGUCAUUUGAAACUGAGAGACUAGAGUACAGCAGAGGAUAGCGGAAUUCCCGGUGUAGUGGUGAAAUGCGUAGAUAUCGGGAGGAACACCAGUGGCGAAGGCGGCUAUCUGGGCUGAAACUGACGCUGAGGCGCGAAGGCUAGGGGAGCAAACAGG